rnacentral:lncRNA from 1 species
UUUAGAAUUUAAGAUUUGAUUAGGAUUUGAUUUAAGGUUUAGAGUUUAGUUUAAGAUUUAGUAUUUGGUUUAGGAUUUAUGAUUUGAUUAGGAUUUUGUUUAGAAUUUAGAAUUUAGGAUUUGAUUAGGAUUUGAUUAGGAUUUGAUUUAGGGUUAGGAUUCAAUUAGGAUUUGGUUUAGAAUUUAGAAUUUAGGAUUUGGUUAGGAUUUGAUUAAGAUUUGAUUUAGGGUUAGGAUUCAAUUAGGAUUUGGUUUAGAAUUUAGAAUUUAGGAUUUGGUUAGGAUUUGAUUAGGAUUUGAUUAGGAUUUGAUUUAGGAUUAGGAUUUGAUUAGGAUUUGAUUUAAGAUUUAGGAUUUAGGAUUUAAUUAGGAUUUGAUUUAGGGUUUAAGGUUUGGUUUAGGAUUCUAUUUGAGUUUGUUUAGGACUUAUGAUUUAAUUAGUUUUUGGCCUAAAAUUUGAAUGAAGUCCAAUAGGAUUUCAACUAAGAUUAAAUUAAGAUUGAAUUCAAAUGCAUUUGAGAUAUAUUUGUAAUCAUUCUAAUAUUUCUUUGAGAUUUCUUAUUAUUUCUUUGUAAUUCCUUUGAAGUUUCUUUGAAUUUGAUUAAAGCUUGUUUAGCAUUGUUAGUAUUCUAUUAGAAUUAAGAUUUUGUUAUAGCAAUUUCCAUCCUACCUUCUAUAACAAGGUAUCUAGAAUAUUCUUAAGAAAGACUUCACUUAUUAUGACAAUGUGAAAGCUUGAAGUCCGAGGUAUCAGAGUUGUUUAUUUUUUAAAUUUACUUUUUAUUUAUUUA